GUGGGUUCAAUGUGUCACAAAUUGUAACUCCUCAAAAAAUUGAGUGUUUUUUGUUAAAUUCUAAUAUAAUUAAGUCUUUGUAUUUAUGGUUAAGUGCUCUGUUUGGAUAUUAGAAGUUAAGGGUUCAAAUCUCAUAUUUGGAAAUUUUGUUAUUUUGUUUGACUUAACCUUUAUUCUUGAACGAUUGACUUAAGUUUAAUUCUGCGUUAGUUUGUGUUAAAGAUGAGUUUGCUGGUUUGAUGGUUAAGUAUUUGUUACUUUUUGGUUUAGUUUUCGAGUCUCUGUGUGAGCGAAGUGGAGAUGUGUUUUUUUUUUUUUGCUACUCUAUAGAAUUAGUUUAAUUCUUUUUUUUAAAUUAAAUUUGUAAUAGCCAAUUUUGGCCCAGACAAAUAAACAAAAAAUAAAACCCAAAUAACCAAAUAAAAAGUCCAAAUUUUAAGUCCAUUUACAACAUAUGUAUGACCCAAACAAUUAAAACCCUAGCCCAAAUCCUAGCCCACUAUCUUAAACAUUUUCAGCAAACAAAAAACCUAGCCACCAAAGUUUUCAGCCGCCACUCCCCCUCAGCCUUGGCCACCACGCGCCCCGCCUCGCCUCCUCGCGAGCCAACCACCGGCCUUCCACGCCUCUGACACCUGCAGAGGGAAAUUAAUACAAGGCAUGAUAGCAAAACGACAAAAGAUAUGGAGUUAGAAGGUUGUAAUUCGGCUUUAAAAACCAAAAGAUUCUCUUUGUAAUUUUUUUACACAGACUAUCAAUUGAAAAAAGUAGAACAGAAGUUUGAACAAGGUUGAUCUCCGAUUUUCUUUUUCUUGGUUUUCAUUUCGUUUUUAGUUUCCUUUUAUUUAUUUUUUAUUUUUUUAUUUACUACAAAUCUAUUAAAUAAAAGUGGGCAUAAAACAAAUAAGAGAAAGGAAGGAAGAAGAGAGUCUCACCGGAAUCGCCCGUGGUUACAUCGCCGGAGGUCUCUCUUCCGUCGUCGGGACCGAAAGUGGUUGAAGAACUCUUCUUUCGUUUCUUUUCAACUUAAGAAGGCUAGACCUUCGAACCCCUUUCAAAACAGGGCUAAACGACCCAUUCUUGUGCAUCGCCGGCCACCGAAUACGGUGGUGGUGCGGCGGUCAUGCGAUGAACCCAACCGUCGCAGACAAAAGGAGAGGGAGAGAGAGCAAAAGGCUCUCUGUUUUUUUUUUAAAAAAAGGGCUGAAAUGAAGAAAAAAAUCAAAUUUUGGCUUUAAUAGUCGUAUAAAACGGCAGAGUUUUGGCAACCCCCCACGCCUCAAAAUGGCUCUGUUUAGGGAGGAACGCACGACCCGACCCGACCCAUACCCAGCGGAGGAUCCGCGCAUUUUGACCUAAUGGUCUAUUUGCGCAUUGGAUCCCUCCGCUUUGGUGGCGUGAUUCAAUGUAGUCCCAUAUUUUU
rnacentral:lncRNA from 1 species